AGAGUUUGUUUCUGGCUCAGGAUGAACGCUAGCGACAGGCUUAACACAUGCAAGUCGAGGGGCAGCGGGGGAGUAGCAAUACUCCCGCCGGCGACCGGCGCACGGGUGAGUAACACGUAUGAAACCUGCCCGUAGCAGGGGGAUAAGCGGAAGAAAUUCCGUCUAAUACCGCGUAACAACCCAUGGAGGCAUCUCCGUGGGUUUAAAGGAAGCGAUUCCGGCUACGGAUGGUCAUGCGUCGCAUUAGCUUGUUGGCGGGGUAACGGCCCACCAAGGCGACGAUGCGUAGGGGUUCUGAGAGGAAGGUCCCCCACACUGGUACUGAGACACGGACCAGACUCCUACGGGAGGCAGCAGUGAGGAAUAUUGGUCAAUGGCCGCAGGGCUGAACCAGCCAAGUCGCGUGAGGGAUGACGGUCCUAUGGAUUGUAAACCUCUUUUGUCAGGGAGCAAAGGGCGCCACGUGUGGCGUUUUGCGAGUACCUGAAGAAAAAGCAUCGGCUAACUCCGUGCCAGCAGCCGCGGUAAUACGGAGGAUGCGAGCGUUAUCCGGAUUUAUUGGGUUUAAAGGGUGCGCAGGCGGAAUGUCAAGUCAGCGGUAAAAUUUCGGGGCUCAACCCCGUCGUGCCGUUGAAACUGGCGUUCUUGAGUGAGCGAGAAGUAUGCGGAAUGCGUGGUGUAGCGGUGAAAUGCAUAGAUAUCACGCAGAACUCCGAUUGCGAAGGCAGCAUACCGGCGCUCAACUGACGCUCAUGCACGAAAGCGUGGGUAUCGAACAGGAUUAGAUACCCUGGUAGUCCACGCAGUAAACGAUGAAU
rnacentral:rRNA from 1 species